GGUUUCAUAGUGUAGUGGUGAUCAGGUCUGCUUUACACGUAGAAGGUCCUGGGUUCAAACCCCAGUAUAACCA
rnacentral:tRNA from 1 species